rnacentral:rRNA from 1 species
UGGGCGGGGGGGGGUACUAAUACAUGCAAGUCGAGCGAACAGAUAAGGAGCUUGCUCCUUUGACGUUAGCGGCGGAGGGAGGAUAGGACGUGGGUAACCUACCUAUAAGACUGGAAUAACUCCGGGAAACCGGGGCUAAUGCCGGAUAACAUUUAGAACCGCAUGGUUCUAAAGUGAAAGAUGGUUUUGCUAUCACUUAUAGAUGGACCCGCGCCGUAUUAGCUAGUUGGUAAGGUAACGGCUUACCAAGGCAACGAUACGUAGCCGACCUGAGAGGGUGAUCGGCCACACUGGAACUGAGACACGGUCCAGACUCCUACGGGAGGCAGCAGUAGGGAAUCUUCCGCAAUGGGCGAAAGCCUGACGGAGCAACGCCGCGUGAGUGAUGAAGGUCUUCGGAUCGUAAAACUCUGUUAUUAGGGAAGAACAAAUGUGUAAGUAACUAUGCACGUCUUGACGGUACCUAAUCAGAAAGCCACGGCUAACUACGUGCCAGCAGCCGCGGUAAUACGUAGGUGGCAAGCGUUAUCCGGAAUUAUUGGGCGUAAAGCGCGCGUAGGCGGUUUCUUAAGUCUGAUGUGAAAGCCCACGGCUCAACCGUGGAGGGUCUUUGG